UUUACUUUAUCCCUGAUCAACACCCAAGUGAGUUGGGCAAAAACAGACACCUGUAUAAUAGUUAACCAUCUCAGCUUAUGGCCUAUGUUCCAGAUCCAUGGUGCCAGAGAAGAUUCUCUGAAGGAAGCAGGAACGCUAUAUGUAAACUGGGGGUUUGUUUCUGAACUGGAUCUUGCCGAAUCCUGUGAGCUGGACUGCAAAGCAUCUUUAUAAGUGCUGUUCUGUCUUCUUUCCAACACUGGAGCCUGAAGUCCGUAGAGCAGAAAGUUGGGAAGUGAAGACGCAGCACAGAGAAAUAAAGACAAACAAGAACCCCCGCAAAGUAAAAUAAAACAAAACUCAUGCUAAUGUUAGCUUCCUGUCAUCUGGAUGAGGACUCCCAUACUGUUACCUAACUUUGGCUGUGAGACUCUGCAUCCGCUCCCAUCAGUUGCUGGAUAACGUCUCUGGUCCCUGAAAAGUCUGAAUAUGGACAAGGCCAUAACACCUUAUAAUGUGAACUUUCUGGGUCUUCACUCCCAUGAUCUGGUCAGUCUAGGAAGCUGAGCCAUGUUUAAACAUCUGGGAUUCAUCAUGCUGGCUCUGUUAAUCAAAGUUCUGAAGAUCAAUUCCAGAUGCUGACUAAAGAGGUUAAAGGUAAAUCUCAGUUUCAGGAGACACCAUGCACUUUGGACAAAAAGACCUGUAGGAUCCAAGUGGUGUCUAACCUAAAAGCUUCUUCUCAGAGGACCAGCAUUCAGAGUGACAAAAUGAGCUAUACAAGUUUCCAAAGGAAGGACACAAUUAACAGUCCUACCCAGCUGUAGCAACUAUACAUCAACAACAAUCAGUGUGUCAUGAAAAUCCUGAGUCCAGUAGUGAUACACUCAUUUCUUGGCAGUAAACGGAAUUUGUAGCUCGGGUCAUGGAAGAGCUACACCAAAACACAGAUCUCAGCAAAAGCGAUACUGGCACUACCCAGAAAAAAAAAAGUAGCAAAGAAAUCUGCUGGAGGAUACACCCAGAGAAAUUCUGCAUGCUCCAGCAAUGAACAGCAGAUGGAAGGAAGCUCAAAGAACACCAGCAAACAAAACAGCCAAUGGUUUCAAUCGGGUGGAGAAC